rnacentral:tRNA from 1 species
GGAGAGAUGGCCGAGUGGUUUAAGGCAGCAGUCUUGAAAACUGCCGUAGGCGUAAGCCUACCGUGGGUUCGAAUCCCACUCUCUCCGCCA